GUAACGGUGUCUUUAGACACCACCUUUGUCUUCAAAAUUAAUUCCCU
rfam:Picea glauca, whole genome shotgun sequence.